ACUCAAAUGAAUAGACGGGGGCCCGCACAAGCGGUGGAGCAUGUGGUUUAAUUCGAUGAUACGCGAAAAACCUUACCUGGGCUUGAACUGUGCUUGAUCGGUGUAGAGAUACACCUUCCUUCGGGCAGGUACAGAGGUGCUGCAUGGUUGUCGUCAGCUCGUGUCGUGAGAUGUUGGGUUAAGUCCCGCAACGAGCGCAACCCCCACUCCUUGUUGCUACCAGGUUAUGCUGGGCACUCUAGGGGAACUGCCGGUGAUAAACCGGAGGAAGGUGGGGACGACGUCAAAUCAUCACGGCCCUUAUGUCCAGGGCUACACACGUGCUACAAUGGUCGGUACAAAGAGUUGCAAUGCCGCGAGGUGGAGCUAAUCUCAAAAAACCGAUCUCAGUUCGGAUUGUAGUCUGCAACUCGACUGCAUGAAGCUGGAAUCGCUAGUAAUCGUGGAUCAGCACGCCACGGUGAAUACGUUCCCGGGCCUUGUACACACCGCCCGU
rnacentral:rRNA from 1 species